CUGUGCAGGGAUCGCCACCCGUCAGCGCGUUGCGCCCACGGGUGCCUUUCCG
rfam:Dinoroseobacter shibae DFL 12, complete genome.